GACGAACGCUGGCGGCGUGCUUAACACAUGCAAGUCGAACGGUGAUCUCGGUGCUUGCACCGGGUGAUCAGUGGCGAACGGGUGAGUAACACGUGAGCAACCUGCCCUUGACUCUGGGAUAACCCCGGGAAACCGGAGCUAAUACCGGAUACUCCGCACCGUAGGCAUCUUCGGGACGGGAAAGAUUUAUUGGUCAAGGAUGGGCUCGCGGCCUAUCAGCUAGUUGGUGGGGUAAUGGCCCACCAAGGCGACGACGGGUAGCCGGCCUGAGAGGGCGACCGGCCACACUGGGACUGAGACACGGGCCAAGACUCCUACGGGAGGCAGCAGUGGGGAAUCUUGCGCAAUGGGCGAAAGCCUGACGCAGCGACGCCGCGUGAGGGAUGAAGGCCUUCGGGUUGUAAACCUCUUUCAGCAGGGAAGAAGCGAAAGUGACGGUACCUGCAGAAGAAGCACCGGCUAACUACGUGCCAGCAGCCGCGGUAAUACGUAGGGUGCAAGCGUUGUCCGGAAUUAUUGGGCGUAAAGAGCUCGUAGGCGGUCUGUCGCGUCUGCUGUGAAAACUCGAGGCUCAACCUCGGGCUUGCAGUGGGUACGGGCAGACUAGAGUGCAGUAGGGGAGACUGGAAUUCCUGGUGUAGCGGUGAAAUGCGCAGAUAUCAGGAGGAACACCGGUGGCGAAGGCGGGUCUCUGGGCUGUAACUGACGCUGAGGAGCGAAAGCAUGGGGAGCGAACAGGAUUAGAUACCCUGGUAGUCCAUGCCGUAAACGUUGGGCGCUAGGUGUGGGGCUCUAUCCACGAGUUCCGUGCCGUAGCUAACGCAUUAAGCGCCCCGCCUGGGGAGUACGGCCGCAAGGCUAAAACUCAAAGGAAUUGACGGGGGCCCGCACAAGCGGCGGAGCAUGCGGAUUAAUUCGAUGCAACGCGAAGAACCUUACCAAGGCUUGACAUACAGGGAAAACUGUCAGAGAUGGCAGGUCCGCAAGGGCCCUGUACAGGUGGUGCAUGGUUGUCGUCAGCUCGUGUCGUGAGAUGUUGGGUUAAGUCCCGCAACGAGCGCAACCCUCGUUCUAUGUUGCCAGCGGGUAAUGCCGGGGACUCAUAGGAGACUGCCGGGGUCAACUCGGAGGAAGGUGGGGAUGACGUCAAAUCAUCAUGCCCCUUAUGUCUUGGGCUUCACGCAUGCUACAAUGGCCAGUACAAUGGGCUGCGAGACCGUAAGGUGGAGCGAAUCCCAAAAAGCUGGUCUCAGUUCGGAUCGGGGUCUGCAACUCGACCCCGUGAAGUCGGAGUCGCUAGUAAUCGCAGAUCAGCAACGCUGCGGUGAAUACGUUCCCGGGCCU
rnacentral:rRNA from 1 species